UACGUAGGGUGCAAGCGUUAAUCGGAAUUACUGGGCGUAAAGCGUGCGCAGGCGGUUUUGUAAGACUGUCGUGAAAUCCCCGGGCUUAACCUGGGAAUGGCGAUGGUGACUGCAAGGCUAGAGUUUGGCAGAGGGGGGUAGAAUUCCACGUGUAGCAGUGAAAUGCGUAGAGAUGUGGAGGAACACCGAUGGCGAAGGCAGCCCCCUGGGUCAAAACUGACGCUCAUGCACGAAAGCGUGGGGAGCGAACAGG
rnacentral:rRNA from 1 species